rnacentral:rRNA from 1 species
AGUGAACGCUGGCGGUGUGCCUAAUACAUGCAAGUCGAAGGAAGUGGCGCACGGGAGAGUAAUAUAAAGCUAAUCUGCCCCUUGCUGGAGGACACCAGAUAGAAAUGACUGCUAAUACUCCAUAGCAAGGGAUGCGACUAUAUCGUAUCAGCUAGCCGGUGGGGUAACGGCCUACCGAGGCUAUGCCGCGUAACUGGUCUGAGAGGAUGAUCAGUUCCAUUGGAACUGAGACACGGUCCAAACUCCUACGAGAGUCAAUAGUAGAGAUUAUUGCGCCAUGGGAGAAUGCCUGACGCAGGAACGCCGCAAGGAGGAUCACACAGUUCUGAGCGUAAACUCCUAUUGUUAGGAAAGGGAAACCUAGCACUUAAGUGCCUGCUAUCUCCGUGCAAGCAGCCGCGGUAAUAC